UACGUAGGGGGCAAGCGUUAUCCGGAUUUACUGGGUGUAAAGGGAGCGUAGACGGCAUAGCAAGUCUGAAGUGAAAGCCCGUGGCUCAACCGCGGAACUGCUAUGGAAACUGUUAAGCUGGAGUACUGGAGAGGCAAGCGGAAUUCCUAGUGUAGCGGUGAAAUGCGUAGAUAUUAGGAGGAACACCAGUGGCGAAGGCGGCUUGCUGGACAGAGACUGACGUUGAGGCUCGAAAGCGUGGGGAGCAAACAGG
rnacentral:rRNA from 1 species